CCUACGGGUGGCAGCAGUGGGGAAUAUUGCACAAUGGGCGGAAGCCUGACGCAGCGACGCCGCGUGAGUGAUGAAGUACUUCGGUAUGUAAAGCUCUAUCAGCAGGGAAGAAAAUGACGGUACCUGACUAAGAAGCUCUGGCCAAUUACGUGCCAGCAGCCGCGGUAAUACUUAGGGGGCAAGCGUUAUCCGGAUUUAAUGGGUGUAAAGGGAGCGUAGACGGUUAUGCAAGUCUGAAGUGAAAGCCCAAGGCUCAACCGUGGGACUGCAUUGGAAACUGGAAAACUGGAGUUCAGGAGAGGUAAGCGGAAUUCCUGGUGUAGCGGUGAAAUGCGUAGAUAUUAGGAGGAACACCAGUGGCGAAGGCGGCUUCCUGGACAUUAACUGACGCUGAGGCGCGAAAGCGAGGGGAGCAAACAGGAUUAGAUACCCGAGUAGUC
rnacentral:rRNA from 1 species